rnacentral:rRNA from 1 species
CCUACGGGUGGCAGCAGUGAGGAAUAUUGGUCAAUGGACGAGAGUCUGAACCAGCCAAGUAGCGUGAAGGAUGACUGCCCUAUGGGUUGUAAACUUCUUUUAUAUGGGAAUAAAAUGUUCCACGUGUGGGAUUUUGUAUGUACCAUAUGAAUAAGGAUCGGCUAACUCCGUGCCAGCAGCCGCGGUAAUACGGAGGAGCCGAGCGUUAUCCGGAUUUAUUGGGUUUAAAGGGAGCGUAGGUGGAUUGUUAAGUCAGUUGUGAAAGUUUGCGGCUCAACCGUAAAAUUGCAGUUGAAACUGGCAGUCUUGAGUACAGUAGAGGUGGGCGGAAUUCGUGGUGUAGCGGUGAAAUGCUUAGAUAUCACGAAGAACUCCGAUUGCGAAGGCAGUUCACUGGACUGCAACUGACACUGAGGCUCGAAAGUGUGGGUAUCAAACAGGAUUAGAUACCGUGUAGUC